rnacentral:sRNA from 1 species
AGCAGCCGCGGUAAUUCCAGCUCCAAUAGCGUAUAUUAAAGUUGUUGCAGUUAAAAAGCUCGUAGUUGAAUUUCGGGAUCAGUACGCUGGUCGUGCCUUCGGUAUGUACUGGUGUUACUGGUUCCUACCUUCUGACGAACCGUCAUGUCAUUAAUUUGGUGUGGCGGGGAAUCAGGACUGUUACUUUGAAAAAUUAGAGUGUUUAAAGCAGGCUCGCGCUUGAAUACAUUAGCAUGGAAUAAUGAAAUGGGACGUUUGAUCCUAUUUUGUUGGUUUCUAGGAUUGACGUAAUGAUUAAUAGGGAUAGUUGGGGGCAUUAGUAUUCAAUUGUCAGAGGUGAAAUUCUUGGAUUUAUUGAAGACUAACUACUGCGAAAGCAUUUGCCAAGGAUGUUUUCAUUAAUCAAGAACGAAAGUUAGGGGAUCGAAGACGAUCAGAUACCGUCGUAGUCUUAACCAUAAACUAUGC